rnacentral:tRNA from 1 species
GGCGGAUGUAGACUCAAAUGAUAAGGCAGUGGAUUGUGAAUCCACCACGUGCGGGUUAAAUUCCCGUC